rnacentral:rRNA from 1 species
GAGUUUGAUCGUGGCUCAGAUUGAACGCUGGCGGCAUGCCUUACACAUGCAAGUCGAACGGCAGCAUGAUCUAGCUUGCUAGGUUGAUGGCGAGUGGCGAACGGGUGAGUAAUACAUCGGAACGUGCCCUGUAGUGGGGGAUAACUAGUCGAAAGAUUAGCUAAUACCGCAUACGACCUGAGGGUGAAAGUGGGGGACCGCAAGGCCUCAUGCUAUAGGAGCGGCCGAUGUCUGAUUAGCUAGUUGGUGGGGUAAAGGCCCACCAAGGCGACGAUCAGUAGCUGGUCUGAGAGGACGAUCAGCCACACUGGGACUGAGACACGGCCCAGACUCCUACGGGAGGCAGCAGUGGGGAAUUUUGGACAAUGGGCGAAAGCCUGAUCCAGCAAUGCCGCGUGUGUGAAGAAGGCCUCGGUUGUAAG